GUCACUUCGGCAGUACAUAUACUAAAAUUGGACUGAUACAGAGUAGAUUAGCGUGGCCCCUGUGCAAGGAUGACACGUAAAUUUGUGAAGCGUUCCAUAUUAAA